rnacentral:lncRNA from 1 species
AAUAGCAAUUAACAAGAGAAUUGCAUAUAUAAUACAAGGCUUGCGCGAGGGCAAGCAACAACGGAAGCGAAAGCUCUAAGCUAAACAUACAUCACACAUGAUAUUUGAUUUCCUUUAAACCAAAUUCAAGUAAACAAAACUAUUACAUUCUAUUCAACCAUCAUAUCUUUUUACAUUUAGUCAUCCACCAAAUACAUGAUUGUUUACGCUUUUCAUUUCUAAAUCAACAAAAUAAAGUUGAUACAUGUAU